rnacentral:misc_RNA from 1 species
AAAGUCGUAACAAGGUUUCCGUAGGUGAACCUGCGGAAGGAUCAUUGAAAAGUCUGUAGUAGGGGGGGGGGAACCCUGGAAGAUAGGUGAGAUGGCAACUGAUGUUGAUAUCUUUUCUUGAAACCGGGAAAUAAAAGCCACUGGUGACUAUUGUGUUGCCGCCGUGCUGGCUGCUGAUAGCAAAACCAGCUGCUGGUGCUUCUUUUUUCCUUUUUUCUUGAUUUCCACUUUUGAUUCCUGCCUGAUGAAUUGAGGGUGUGCUAUGUGCUCCCGAUAGAAACCUGUAAAUAACUUUUAACAAUGGAUCUCUUGGCUCUC